UAGGUGUGUGUUCCAGGUAAAUCCGGUUCACUUUAACACUGAGGCGUGACGACGAGGCACUACGGUGCUGAAGCAACAAAUGCCCUGCUUCCAGGAAAAGCCUCUAAGCAUCAGGUAACAUCAAAUCGUACCCCAAACCGACACAGGUGGUCAGGUAGAGAAUACCAAGGCGCUUGAGAGAACUCGGGUGAAGGAACUAGGCAAAAUGGUGCCGUAACUUCGGGAGAAGGCACGCUGACACGUAGGUGAAGUGAUUUACUCAUGGAGCUGAAGUCAGUCGAAGAUACCAGCUGGCUGCAACUGUUUAUUAAA
rnacentral:rRNA from 1 species